rnacentral:rRNA from 1 species
UACGUAGGGUGCAAGCGUUGUCCGGAAUUAUUGGGCGUAAAGGGUAGGUAGGUGGUCUCAUUUGUCUGGGGUGAAAGCCUUGAGCUUAACUCAAGAAGUGCCCCAGAAACGGUGAGACUGGAGUCCUGGAGAGGGUAGUGGAAUUCCCGGUGUAGCGGUGAAAUGCGUAGAGAUCGGGAGGAACACCAGUGGCGAAGGCGGCUCACUGGCCCGAUACUGACGCUGAGGCACGAAAGCGUGGGGAGCAAACAGG